UUUUUUUAUACCUCACGUACCAACAGCACAUUAAUCUUCUUUGUACUUAGUAAAAAUGACCAAGAAAGGCACAGAUGUAACCAUAAUGCUCAUAGUCAGCAUGACUCUGCUUAGGACAUUCAUAUCCAAAGCCUCCAACAGAGGCAGUAGCCCUAUAGCAAACAGGGAAGAAUUAGGAACGGGAAGAAUUCCUGCUAUGUGUCAUUUUAACAACCUCUCUAGGUCUGUCAGUUGCGAUAAAACUAGCAAAAAUGGGGCCUUCGUCAUCUGAUUUGGAGCUCUGAGUGUUUUCAAGGACCUCUGGGUUACAAUCCCACUGAGGAGUUUCUGAAAUCCAUGUGAUAAAGCAUGGGAGUUGCUAUGUUCACCGGCCUCUUCGUGGGCUCUUAGCUCCCCAGGCUGAGUGCUGUAACAGCCUUAGAAUGUGCCCCGUACCUGUGAGCAGAGCACGUUGCUUUCUAGAACACCUUCACCUCUCCAGCUUCACCUACCCCAGCUUCACAGGGCCAGUGCUCCAAGCACUCCGAGCAGAAUACGAGUUUGGCUGCCAUCAAUUUAGCAAUUUGCAAUGUUUCUCUCAAACGCUCUGAACCAACUUUUACACAGGUUCAUCUGCUGCCGAAAACACACACUAAGGAAUGUAUUGCUGCUUAGGGAAAGAAAGAUUCAAAGUGCACAUCCAGAGGGAAGGAACGAGACAGACAGAAAACUUAACAACUUUGUAAUACCAUGCUACAUUGCACCUCACAUUUCUUGCAACAACCACCCUGCAUCAGUGACAGGACUCCCUGUCUAUUGCUUCAGUCACUCAGCGCUGGAUUCCAUCCUUUGCAAGGUAAAGGACUAUACAUCACUGAAAGUUUACAUAAUGGCCGUCUGCAAAAAUAAAGCAUCCUACGUCCUCGUCUGAAAAUAGCCUCAUUGAAGACGACAAGGAUUUUACAUUGAUCACAGCAGCAAUCUCGGUUGCCAAUAAUAUCAUCUGUACGUAUUCUUCUGAAAUGUUUGGUAUCGAUCAACACAGUUUCUAAAAAGCACAAACAAUAAAUUAUUCAUUUUGAUUUAUAAAG